rfam:Crassostrea gigas strain 05x7-T-G4-1.051#20 contig9081, whole genome shotgun sequence.
GUCUUAAGAGCUCAGUGGUAAGAGCGCUGGCACGGUACACCAGAGGCCCUGGGUUCGAGUACCGGUUGAGACU